GAGAGAGACAGAGAUCAUAGUGAACAAAUGAUUGGCCUGGUAGGCAGUGGAAAAUACAUGAUUUUACAUGGAACAUGCAGAUAUCUUCGAAAAACAGGACAUUGAGUUUUGGAAAUUAGCGUUAUAGUUGAUUUGGAGUGAACCAAGUUACUGUUCAGUUUGGUUGUGGCUUUUGAUGAAGGGAUGGUCCAUCUGAGAUGGAAAUUGGAGGAAGAUUUCAGGAUUUUUUCAUGUUCUUGUCUUUCUGUUAUGCCCCGAGGUAAAAAGCAUUGGAAAUGCUGUUAAUUUUUUGCACGGCGAGCUGCAGAAUAUUGACCAGUCUCACACCAUUGCCAUCACCUUGCCCUUGCAGAUGCGGAUAAAGUUCUCCAAGCUGACAGAAAUUGAAAGCACUCGCAUCCUGUGACGAUGGGGUAGGAGUGGAAGAAUCAGAGUGUUUCUUUGAAAAUUGGCUUGAUGUGUCUGUCCAAGGGUCAUCUGGAGGAAAAAAUACAAGUGCACUCAGACAUGAACUAAUGGAUAAGGAGGAGACAAUCAUAACUGCUUUGGAUUCAGCCCAUAGAAGGGCCAGAGGAGUCGCGCUGACACCUUCAUGUUUAAACAGAGGACACUUUUCUGCGUGCCACUAGAUGUAUAUCAGCCAUACCAAAAUGCUGCCUUUGCCUGAGACAGGGAAGAUGAAAUGACUUUGGGGAAAUGGAGAAUCAUUCAUGAAUCCAGUUACUUUCUGAUCUGACAGCUUUGUGGCAUCUGAAUGGAUAACAAUUUGAUCUGGUAAUCUCAAUUGAUAGAGUGCAAAUGUGUAGUGAUGCAUUUUGGGAGCUCUGGUAAGUGAAAGAUGUUCACAAUGACUAGUAGAUCCCUAGAGAGCACUGAGAAACAAAGGGACCUUGGUGUCCAAAAGCAAGAGUUCAUGCCCUCUGCUUCUGGCCUUUCAGGCAAUGUUGGAUCCAACACUCCACUGAGCCUUAGAUCCCAUGAGCUCUUGUUUUGUUGACCAGUCUGCUAUCACUGACCUUAUCAAAAACAUAUAGACCACAUCAGAUGAAUUUCCCUCUUCAACACUUCUGAUAUCUCCUCAAUAAAAAUUAGAUAAAAUUUGCAAACCAUGGCAUUACCUCAACAAAGCCAUGCUGACUAUCCCCGAACAUUCCAUGUUUCUCCAAGUGCAGCGACAUUUUGUCCCUUAAAAUUCUUUCUGAUAACUUCCCUACCACCAAGGUUAGACUGGCUUGUAACUUCUGGAU